UACGUAGGGGGCAAGCGUUGUCCGGAAUCAUUGGGCGUAAAGAGCGCGUAGGCGGCCCAGUAUGUCCGCUCUGAAAGUCAGGGGCUCAACCCCUGAAUGCGGGUGGAUACUGCUGGGCUAGAGUCCGGAAGAGGCGAGUGGAAUUCUUGGUGUAGCGGUGAAAUGCGCAGAUAUCAGGAGGAACACCGAUGGCGAAGGCAGCUCGCUGGGACGGUACUGACGCUGAGGCGCGAAAGCGUGGGGAGCAAACAGG
rnacentral:rRNA from 1 species